UACGUAGGGUCCGAGCGUUGUCCGGGAUUAUUGGGCGUAAAGGGCUCGUAGGCGGUUUGUCGCGUCGGGAGUGAAAACACGGGGCUUAACCCCGUGCCUGCUUCCGAUACGGGCAGACUAGAGGUAUGCAGGGGAGAACGGAAUUCCUGGUGUAGCGGUGAAAUGCGCAGAUAUCAGGAGGAACACCGGUGGCGAAGGCGGUUCUCUGGGCAUUACCUGACGCUGAGGAGCGAAAGUGUGGGGAGCGAACAGG
rnacentral:rRNA from 1 species